UUGACCUCAAAUCAGGUAGGACUACCCGCUGAACUUAAGCAUAUCAAUAAGCGGAGGAAAAGAAACUAACAAGGAUUCCCCUAGUAACUGCGAGUGAAGCGGGAAAAGCUCAAAUUUAAAAUCUGGCGGUCUUGCGGCCGUCCGAGUUGUAAUCUGGAGAAGCGUUUAUCCGCGUCGGACCGUGUACAAGUCUUCUGGAAGGGAGCGUCGUAGAGGGUGAGAAUCCCGUCUUUGACACGGACAACCGGUGCUUUUGUGAUGCGCUCUCGAGAGUCGAGUGUUUGGGAAUGCAGCUCAAAAUGGUGGUAAAUUCCAUCUAAAGCUAAAUAUUGGCGAGAGACCGAUAGCGAACAAGUACCGU
rnacentral:rRNA from 1 species